rnacentral:rRNA from 1 species
UACAGAGGUCCCAAGCGUUGUUCGGAUUCAUUGGGCGUAAAGGGCGCGUAGGCGGGCCGCCAGGUCCGGGGUGAAAUCGUUCGGCUCAACCGGACAAGUGCCUCGGAAACCGGCGGCCUCGAGGGUGGCAGGGGCCUGCGGAACUUCCGGUGGAGCGGUGAAAUGCGUUGAUAUCGGAAGGAACGCCGGUGGCGAAAGCGGCGGGCUGGACCACUUCUGACGCUGAGGCGCGAAAGCCAGGGGAGCAAAGCGGG